UCUGUAAACAAGUGGCAAUAGUAGUGAAGUUGGCUGCAGUUCAUGACCGGCCAUGAUUCCAAAAAUCACAAAAAAAAAUGGCCGGACUUUUAUGCUUCGACAAAAAAUGGAGUCAUGUCGUUGUGCAAAAUUAAUUAAAAAUUUUCAAUAAAAUACCCUAAAUUAAGUGCAAAAAAAGUGUUAAAACUCAAGUUAAAGUCUAAAGCGAAAACCUCAAACUGAUUUCCCACAAAAAAUUGUGUAAUUUUGACGUAAAAUUUACAUUUGAAAAAAGGCAACGAAAAAAUUUUUCUUCAUUCGCACAGACUGCAUACAAGCAAAAAAUUUUUUAUUCGUGUCCCGAAAUCGAAGCGUAGCUAGUUGUGGUAGUAAAGUAGAUGAAGAGUUGUUUGCUGGUGCUAUAAAGCUUAAAUCUUAAAUCCGCAAACGGUUCGUGUAAAUUUUCAUUAAUAUACAGAUAUAAAAAAAGGAAAAGAAAAAAAUCUAUUAAAAACCGUGGAAAUUUUUGUAAAAAUUGUGUAACUAUACAAAACAAAAAUAAGAAAAAAAAGUAUGAUAAUGCUGAAAAUUGUGUAUGUUAAUUGUGCAUUGAGAAAAUUGUAUAUUGACGACGAUUAGAAGAAAACAAUUGUAGAAAUUUUAAAAGAUAAAACAACAAUUUUAUAUUUUUGUGUUCUCUUAUCAUACUCUAUAGCUAUCCUUUUCUAUGCUAUAAGAAAGUUAUAUGUCAACAUGAAGAAGACAUCUAUACUAACAAACGUGGGUAGUGUGCAAAAAAAGUAAGGAAAAAAAAAACAAAAAAGAAAAACAAAUUGAAAAGAAAACAAAACAAAAAAAGAAAUACCACAAAAACCAACAACGAAUUAAAAA